ACACCGAUGGUGAAGCGGUUAUCAUGCUUGCCUUCCAUUGCGCCGUCCCUAUUUCUAAUGUAAGCAAGCGGCAGGGGUUCGACUCCCCUUCGGUGUA